AAGUCGUAACAAGGUUUCCGUAGGUGAACCUGCGGAAGGAUCAUUAGAGAAAUUGUACCAAAACAAUAUGGACAAUCCAUCCAUAUUAUCCCACCUUGUGUGCAUCCAUUGAAAACAUGCUUUGGGAGGUUUCUCUCACUUUGGAGGAGAGGAACUUUAAGCCUCCCAAGGUUUUUUUCCCUUUGUACACCUUUCUUGUUUCUCCUGAAAAAAAUAAAAAAUAAAACGAAAUAAAAAAAAAAUUACAACUUUCAACAACGGAUCUCUUGGCUCUC
rnacentral:misc_RNA from 1 species